rnacentral:rRNA from 1 species
AUCUUGACCUCAGAUCAGGCAAGGCUACCCGCUGAAUUUAAGCAUAUUAAUAAGCGGAGGAAAAGAAACUAACAAGGAUUCCCUCAGUAACAGCGAGUGAAGCGGGAACAGCUCAAAUUUGAAAUCUCCGACGCUUGCGUCGGCGAGUUGUAGUUGCGAGAAGCACUUUCUAGGCGGAUCGGUGGUGCYUAAGUUGCUUGGAACAGUGCGUCAUAGAGGGUGACAACCCCG